rnacentral:rRNA from 1 species
GACAGAGGAUGCAAGCGUUAUCCGGAAUGAUUGGGCGUAAAGAACUCGUAGGCGGUUUGUCGCGUCUGCCGUGAAAGUCCGGGGCUCAACUCCGGAUCUGCGGUGGGUACGGGCAGACUAGAGUGAUGUAGGGGAGACUGGAAUUCCUGGUGUAGCGGUGAAAUGCGCAGAUAUCAGGAGGAACACCGAUGGCGAAGGCAGGUCUCUGGGCAUUAACUGACGCUGAGGAGCGAAAGCAUGGGGAGCGAACAGG